UCCUUGUUAGCUCAGUUGGUAGAGCGCUCCGCUAGUUAUGGAGAAGUCCCUGGUUCGAUACCAGGACCAGGCG
rnacentral:tRNA from 2 species